GGAUUGAACAUAUAUAUUCACAUGUACUAUUUUAUUUAAUUUUCUUUUCUAUUAAGUCAUUUAGAAUUCCCUGAACUCUAUUCAUGCUGUGCUAUUUGCAAGGUUGCCUGUUGCACGUUUGAUUAUAAAUGAGGUCAAACCUCUAACUCCCAGGAAGAUGCUGAUGUAUACCCAUUCCCUUCUCACUGCAAGCCGGUAGCCAUGGGAACUAUGAGUAAGUACACAAUAACAUCUCAGGGAACAGUCCUCAGGGAACAAAGUUCAUUUUAAUGAAGCUGGCCUGGCCACAGAGGAACCUGGGGGACUUCCUAGGUUUCUCCGCAUUGUGUCGCCUCCUGGCUUUAAGCGGGUUCCAGAGGAGGAGAAAGCGCAGCCAUCUGAGCAGGCUCUUCGUGAAGGCCCAGACCCCUCUGCUCCUCAUGGGCAACUGCCAGGCAGGGCACAACCUGCAUCUCUGUCUGGCCCACCAUCCACCUUUGGUCUGCGCCACCUUGAUCCUGCUGCUGCUUGGCCUCUCUGGCCUGGGCCUUGGCAGCUUCCUCCUCACACACAGGACUGGCCUGCGCAGCCCUGACAUCCCUCAGGACUGGGUCUCCUUUUUGAGAUCUUUUGGUCAGCUGUCUCUGUGCCCUGUGAAUGGGACAGUCACAGGGAAAUGGCAAGGGUCUCACAUCGUGGGUUUACUGACCACCUUGCACUUUGGAGAUGGUACAGACAGGAACAAGACCCAGACAUUCCAAACCAAGAUCCUGGGUAGUCAGAUUGGAUUGAAAGGAUCUUCUGCAGAACAGCAGAUCCUUGUCACAGCCAGAGUGACCACAGAAAGGACCCCAGGCAUCUGCCUAUAUUUUAGUGCUAUUCCAGGAAUCUUGCCUUCCAGCCAGCCACCCAUAUCCUGUUCAGAGGAAGGAGCAGGAAAUGCCACCCUAAGCCCUAGGAUGGGUGAGGAGUGUGUCAGGGUCUGGAGCCGUGAAGACCUUGUGCUCACCAAGCUGCUCACCUCGGAGGAGCUAGCUCUGUGUGGCUCCAGGCUGCUGGUCUUAGGCUCCUUUCUGCUAUUCUUCUGUGGCCUUCUCUGCUGUGGCACUGCUAUGUGCUUCCACCCACGUCGAGAGUCCCACUGGUCUAGAACCCGGCUCUGAGGGCACUGGCCUACUUCCUGCCUUGUUCUCAGUCAUCGCUGCAUUUAGGAAAAGUUGAUUCAGCUAACAAGAUCUUUGGAGAGAAUCAGCUUCACAAAGGUUCAAAUCAACUUCUUGGGCCUUGUUGGAAGAGAUGUUACAGUGAAGAGUUGGAAUGAGGGAGAAAUAAAAGGCUAUUUUGCCCCAUGUUGCCUAAGGUGU